rnacentral:misc_RNA from 1 species
UCUAUACGGUUUGCUGCGAAAAACAAUUGAAAUUUAUAUUUUAUUUGAAACAAGAUUAAGUGAAACUGAACUUUUUUAUACAAUGGACCUUUAUGCACCAGGUUCUUCUGGGUUAACUGUUUUAUCAAGACACAGUAUAUAUAUGAUGACUAAGAACAUAAAUGAGAAGAGUUUUAGCGAAAAAAUAGAUAAGGUACAAGAAAUAAUAAUAAAUAAAUACAGUUUAAAUAGUAAGGAAAGGAAAA